rnacentral:lncRNA from 1 species
UGGACGUUAUUGUUGAAAAUUAUGAACGGACCUCAGAGCGCUUUUCACUAGAAGAGUCUUACGAUCGUGCGGUUUGUGUAAGAGAGACAGGGCAGAAUACCAAAUGUUCAGCGGAUUUUGUUCAGUCUAUCUUAAGCGCGGUGACCAAUUUACAGCAUUCUUCGCAAACACGUGAAGAAAACGCAUCACAAGGUGCCAGUGCAGUAGAAUUCACAUCGUUACCUGAAGAACUGAAUUCUCGUUUCCGAAUGGCCACGUACUCAGAAUUCGUGUGUACCAAAUAAUGCGUCUGGGCCGCAGCCAGCUUUUCAGGGAUACUGAACCUUACACACAUGACUAUCUCUUUCUCUCGCCUUAUAUAUUUUACAUGCCUCCAUACAAGCUUUUUAGUACAGCGAGAUCAUACUCCUUGAGUAUGAUCAAAUUUUUUUACACCACAAGAUAUUUUACCGAUACAAUUUCACACACGCAUCUCCAAUUUUAUGUUCCAAAAGUCUACACCUACACUGUCUUACACUUAUAUUUCUUAGGUUCACAUUUAUACAUAUACAAGUGGUUUUUUAUUUUUUAUUCUCAGGCUUAUCAAAUACAACAUUAUUUUCACAAGCAUAAAUUGUGCCAACAACACGAGGCCAUCACAUCAUAAUAUUUCACACUUGGCAUAUUGUGGCAUUGACUUAUGUGGUUAACUGCUCUUCUGUGACUUGUAUUCUUGGCCUACCAACGUAACCAACGAGCCCGUUUCUUUCCGCCGUACAAACCGUUUGCACGAUCGUAACACUCUUCUAGUGAAAAGCGCUCUGAGGUCCGUUCAUAAUUUUCAAC